UGCCACUUUUCCCCAAUAGCGUUAUUUCGGGACAUCAAACUCGGUCCCCACAGGGUUAUUUCUAGAGAAAACCUUUCUCUCGAAAUAACCCUUAAAUCUAAUUUUUUGAGGAGUAAGGGUUAUUUCGAGGGAAGGGUUUUCUCUCGAAAUAACCCCGCGGGGACCAAGUUUGAUGUCCCGAAAUAGCACUAUUGCGGAAAAGCGGCA
rnacentral:pre_miRNA from 1 species